GUUUGAAUGAUGACUUACAUUGUUGUCGGAUACCCCUUCACUCCGUUCAUGAGUGAAACCUGUAUAGUCUGACAAAC
rnacentral:snoRNA from 10 species